AUUGAACGCUGGCGGCCUGCCUUACACAUGCCAGUCGAACGGUAACAGGGCUUCGGAUGCUGACGAGUGGCGAAUGGGUGGGUAAUACAUCGGAACGUGCCUAGUUGUGGGGGAUAACUACUCGCAAGAGUGGAUAAUACCGCAUGAGACCCACGGAGGAAAGCAGGGGAUAGACAGUGCCUGUGAGACGAGCGAGGCCGAUGGCAGAUUAGGUAGUUGGUGGGGUAAAAGCUUUCCAAGCCGACGAUCUGUAGAUGGUCUGAGAGGACGAUCAGCCACACUGCGACUGAGACACGGCCCAGACUCCUACGGGAGGCAGCAGUGGGGAAUUUUGGACAAUGGGCGCAAGCCUGAUCCAGCAAUGCCGCGUGCAGGAUGAAGGCCUUCUGGUUGUAAACUGCUUUAGUACGGAACGAAAAGCCCUGGGUUAAUACCCUGGGAUCAUGACGGUACCGUAAGAAUAAGCACCGGCUAACUACGUGCCAGCCGCCGCCGUAACAC
rnacentral:rRNA from 1 species